UGCGUAGGCGGAUAUAUAAGUCAGUGGUGAAAUCCUGCGGCUCAACCGUAGAACUGCCAUUGAUACUGAUAUUCUUGAAUGUAGUUGAGGUAGGCGGAAUGUGUAAUGUAGCGGUGAAAUGCUUAGAUAUUACACAGAACACCGAUUGCGAAGGCAGCUUACUAAACUAUGAUUGACGCUGAGGCACGAAAGCGUGGGGAGCGAACAGGAUUAGAUACCCUGGUAGUCC
rnacentral:rRNA from 1 species